rnacentral:rRNA from 1 species
UGCGUAGGCGGCUUAUUAAGUCAGGGGUGAAAGACGGUGGCUCAACCAUCGCAGUGCCUUUGAUACUGAUGAGCUUGAAUACACUUGAGGUAGGCGGAAUGUGACAAGUAGCGGUGAAAUGCAUAGAUAUGUCACAGAACACCAAUUGCGAAGGCAGCUUACUAAGGUGCAAUUGACGCUGAGGCACGAAAGCGUGGGGAUCAAACAGGAUUAGAUACCCUGGUAGUCCACGCCCUAAACGAUGAAUACUCGAUGUUAGCGAUAUACAGUUAGCGUCUAAGCGAAAGCGUUAAGUAUUCCACCUGGGGAGUACGCCCGCAAGGGUGAA